UUCUCUACCCCAAUUCCCCUUCUCCCGUCUCUCACAUCCGAUUCUCCCCUUCCCCACCACGCCCCGCUCCUCCCACCGCUGCGAUCUGCCUCGCCGUCCCACCCCGCCCCCUUCUCCUUUCCCCAUUUCAACACCAGACUCUCCCUCCCUCGCUUCAAUUCGCCGCAGUCCGGCCCCAAGUCAGUGCCGCCGCCCCUUCCUGCACACACUUGCAUGUUAUUUUUCAAAUCUUUAAACCUGAAACCCUACUCAUCGGUCUCUCUCCCACCGCCAGCUCCUUCUCUCAACUGCCGCCCCAAACGACCGUGUCUUCAUGGACGGGCUCAUUCAUCACCCGAAGUCUAGCCAUCGGAGACAGCUGACGGCGACGCUCGGUUGCCCACGCCCUAAUUUCGUCCCCAAAUCCAUCCUCACCCCCGUCGCCGAUGGCCCGUUCCAAGCCCCAGGCUGCCCAACCCCAAUUUCGUUGCACUUCCGUUGAUUCGCCGCCGGUAUUCUCCAUGUUCCGAAAUUCGCCAUCGAGGAAUUCAAAGUGCCUCUCAACCAUCUGCUGACGGUUCGUUUGUGGUAGCUGCUUAUUUAUAGUAUUUUAAUAACUGAUGUUAUCAAUCCUUUGCCAGUAAAAAAUUGUGAUCUUAUAUGUGGUGAGAGUAGAAAUCACUGGUUACUUAUCAUGGUAUUUCUACAUGGAUAGAACAACUAACAAAUUCGCUGUAAAUUAUUUUAUGAGAUUCUGCACCUUUGAGAUGGUACAUUUUGUAAAUUAGUUGGUCUAGAUUCUCAUUGUACUCAUUUUCAAUCAUUUAUUAAUUUCUUUGUCUAUCA